GACGAACGCUGGCUACAGGCCUAACACAUGCAAGUCGAGGGACCGGCGCACGGGUGAGUAAUGCGUAUCCAACCUACCCAUAACUAAGGGAUAACCCAGCGAAAGUUGGACUAAUAACUUAUGGUUAUGGAUGGGGAUGCGUCUGAGUAGAGUGUGGGCGGGGUAUCGGCCCACCAAGGAACCGAUCAGUAGGGGUUCUGAGAGGAGGUUCCCGCAGAAUUGAGAUCAGACACAGUCCACUCUCCUACGGAGUGGUGCGGUGAGUAACAUAAGUCAAUGAAGCCAAGUCUGAACCAGCCAAGUAGCGUGCAGAGUGACGCCCUAUGAGUUGUAAACUGCUUUUAUAUGGGGAUAGGUACCAUAUGAAUAAGCACCGGCUAAUUCCGUGCCAGCCGCCGCGGUAAUAC
rnacentral:rRNA from 1 species